rnacentral:rRNA from 1 species
UACAGAGGGUGCAAGCGUUAAUCGGAAUUACUGGGCAUAAAGCGCGCGUAGGUGGUUUGUUAAGUUGGAUGUGAAAUCCCCGGGCUCAACCUGGGAACUGCAUCCAAAACUGGCAAGCUAGAGUAUGGUAGAGGGUGGUGGAAUUUCCUGUGUAGCGGUGAAAUGCGUAGAUAUAGGAAGGAACACCAGUGGCGAAGGCGACCACCUGGACUGAUACUGACACUGAGGUGCGAAAGCGUGGGGAGCAAACAGG